UACGUAGGUAGCCAGCGUUAUCCGGAUUUAUUGGGCGUAAAGGGUGCGUAGGCGGCUUGUUAAGUAUGAGAUUAAAGCCUGAGGCUUAACCUCAGUUCGUUUCAUAAACUGGCAGGCUUGAGUAUGGCAGAGGUAAAUGGAAUUUCUAGUGUAGCGGUAGAAUGCGUAGAUAUUAGAAGGAACACCAGUGGCGAAGGCGAUUUACUGGGCCAUAACUGACGCUGAGGCACGAAAGCGUGGGGAGCAAAUAGG
rnacentral:rRNA from 1 species